rnacentral:rRNA from 1 species
GCCCUGUUGGGGGACGGCGGAAGGACAUUA